rnacentral:lncRNA from 1 species
CUUGAACUCUGAGGUUUGUUGCAUUCUGAACAGUGUAACCACGACCUGAUCUGAAUUCCUUCCAUCAGCCCUUGCAUCACUUUUGCAGACCUGCUGAGCAUUUACUAAGUACCAUAUAGGAGCAGAUGCAGAAGAAAAUGAGAUCCUGAGCACUAAGUAGCAGCAAGAAGCACAGACACUGGCUGGAGGACCAUCUGCAGGAAGGCCAAGUUGCUCUAGGAAUUGCUAUUU